GUGGUACAGCCUGAUGAACAUGAACAAGGUCAUCGUGGCUGUCAUUCCAACCCACAAGGGACUUCCCUCCAGCCCCAAAUGGUUUUUCCUUGCUGUUCAGCUUUGCCACAUCCCUGUAGAGGUGCAUCUCUUCUGCUGUAUGAGAUUGUACAGUCUCAACCUUCUCUUACAACUUACAGACUCCUCUGUGUCUGCAACGACCUGUGGGGAGAAACGUUUCUCAGGUUUAGCCUGUGUGCCUGCACUGAAAACAUUGGAGAGUUGACUUGACGUAUCCUUUAAAGCAGAACUUCACCAUGACUGGUGGUUGUACUCACCAUCAAGAAGGCAAUGUGACAAUCCAUAUCACAAAAAAACAACAAAAAAAAAAUCGACCUGAAUACUAGACUUAGACCUCAGAAGUAAGUUGCCUAAUGAAGCUGGGACACAGAUUAAUUAUUUUGGUGUCCAGCACUAUUAAAAAGGAACACAACAUUUGGGAUGAAAAGAGCAAGUAAUUAAGCACCAACAAAGACUCAUCAAGCAACAGUUACUAUGUGUUUAGACGCUUCAUGAGCAAGGAAUGUAUGUGGCCCCACGGAGCUCUGGGACACAGCAUAAAAGCCUGUGCUGCUCCAGGCUCUGCAUCCUCCUCUCUUGCCUCCCUUUCCUCCAGGAACGAGCUUUGCCUCCCUCACCAAGAGAUGUCUUGCUUCAGACCCUGUAUCCCAGCACCUUGUGGUUCCUCUGGCCCAACCCCACUUGCAAGCAGCUGCAGUGAGCCCUGUGUCGCCCGCUGUGGUGACUCGACGGUGGCCAUUGAGGCCUCUCCAGUGGUGGUGACCCUGCCGGGCCCCAUCCUCACUUCUUUCCCUCAGAACACAGUUGUGGGAUCCUCUCUGUCAGCUGCUGUUGGGAGCUCCCUCAGCACUGGGGGGGUUCCCAUCUCUUCUGGGGGCUCCCUUGGACUGGGGGGGUCAGGGCUGUGCCUGCCUCCCCCCCGCUGCCGUCUGAACUGCUGAACCUGGUGCAUUGUCCCUUCUGGAGCAGGAAGAAUGAUGGGGACUGCACAGCAGGAGUGUGGCCAGGCCUUGCAGUGGGCUGUUCUCUGUGUUGCCCUGAACCCUGCAGAUGUGUUUCUUGAUCUCUGUUCUGUGCCACUGCAUUUGCUCCUUCUCAUUAAAGACUUUGUGCAGCAUA